rnacentral:rRNA from 1 species
UACGUAGGGUGCGAGCGUUGUCCGGAAUUACUGGGCGUAAAGAGCUCGUAGGCGGUUUGUCGCGUCGUAUGUGAAAACCAGCAGCUCAACUGCUGGCUUGCAGGCGAUACGGGCAGACUUGAGUACUGCAGGGGAGACUGGAAUUCCUGGUGUAGCGGUGAAAUGCGCAGAUAUCAGGAGGAACACCGGUGGCGAAGGCGGGUCUCUGGGCAGUAACUGACGCUGAGGAGCGAAAGCGUGGGGAGCGAACAGG